rnacentral:rRNA from 1 species
UGCCACAUGACAUUCAUAUAUGGUACACCCUGCCCAGUGAAGCAUUUUCAACGGCCGCGGUAUCCUAACCGUGCAAAGGUAGCAUAAUCAUUUGCCUAUUAAUUGUAGGCUAGUAUGAAAGGAUAAACGUAAUUAAAGCUGUCUCUAUUAGACCCGUAAAAUCUAAUAUUCAAGUGAAGAAGCUCGAAUAAAAUCGUAAGACAAGAAGACCCUAUAGAGCUUUAUCUCAAAUACACAACCUAAGUGCCUAAGAUUCGGUUGGGGCGACCAGGGAAUAAUUAUCAUCCCUAAUUUACAAGACUCACAAGUCCCUCUCAAGAUCCUUUUCAAGAUCACAGAAUCAAGCUACCUUAGGGAUAACAGGCUAAUUCCCCUAGAGAGUCCUUAUCAACAGGGGAGGUUGGCACCUCGAUGUUGGCUUAGGAUUUCCUCAUGAUGCAGCAAUCAUGAUUAGAUGGUUUGUUCAACCAUUAAUAUCCU